rnacentral:misc_RNA from 1 species
GAUGAAGAACGUAGCGAAAUGCGAUAAGUAAUGUGAAUUGCAGAAUUCAGUGAAUCAUCGGAUCUUUGAACGCACCUUGCGCUCUUUGGUAUUCCGAAGAGCAUGCCUGUUUGAGUGUCAUGAAAAUAUCAACCUUGACUUGGGUUUUGUGCUCUAGUCUCGGCUUGGAAUUGGGUGCUUGCCGCUUUUACGAGCGGCUCACCUUAAAUGUAUUAGCUGGAUCUGUCUUUGAGACUUGGUUUGACUUGGCGUAAUAAGUAUUUCGCUAAGGACAUUCUUCGGAGUGGCCUCGUUUCUAGGACGCUUGUCCGCUUUCCAAUACAAGUUCCACCUCGUGGACAUGACUUUUUAUUAUCUGGCCUCAAAUCAGGUAGGACUACCCGCUGAACUUAAGCAUAUCAAUAAGCGGAGGA